rnacentral:misc_RNA from 1 species
CCCCUCUCUCUUUUCUUUCUCCUUCUUGUCCUUUUUAUGCUUUUUCUCCUUGUGCUUCUCCUUUUUUAGCAACUCUGUAUCCUCAAUUCUAGCCUUCUUUUCAUAUCCUGGAGGCGGAAAUGGAAAGCACCGAGACAUUGCACGUGAUCCUUGAACUGGCAAAGUGGGAUCGAUCCACAGUACAAAAGGCUUCUCCUACAAUACCGUACUGUUGUUCCAACACGGGAACAUACCAGAAACUAUGCUCUUGUCCAUGCACCAUGUCCUUGCACUCAUUUCCAGCCUAAAAAUCAAUCCAU